AUUUUGAUUCAGUGAUAUAAAUCAUUCUGAGUUGUGUGUGUCCCUCCCUCAUACUGUGUGUUUCUGCUCCAGUUUCUGUAGAUGAUGUUGAGCCCGAGCCCUCAGAGACAGUAGAGGAUGGGCAGUUCUGCAGUGGGGUGUGUGUAGCUGUGGUUCUGGUUCUUGGGGUUCUCAGUGCUGUUCUCAAUCUGGUGCUUUUCAUCGUGAUCUUGACCAAACGCAGAGCUGCACUCAGACAGAACACAGAGCCUGGUAAUCAAACAGCGUCUCCACCUGAGCAGGUGAGUCGGAUUAGCCCAGUGAGGGAUUAUGUGUUUGGCUGCCUGGCUCCCUGACUGACUGGCUGGCUCUGUUCUACUUUAACUAGCUUUUAAAAUGGCUGUUCAAAGAGAAUGUCAUCAUUGGAACGUUACCUUUAUCAUUAAUAUUUGUUGUAGUUGC